rnacentral:rRNA from 1 species
CAGUGGCGAACGGGUGAGUAACACGUGGGCAAUCUGCCCUGCACUCUGGGACAACACCGGGAAACCGGUGCUAAUACCGGAUACGACGUACCUCGGCAUCGAGUGUGCGUGGAAAGCUCCGGCGGUGCAGGAUGAGCCCGCGGCCUAUCAGCUUGUUGGUGGGGUGAUGGCCUACCAAGGCGACGACGGGUAGCCGGCCUGAGAGGGCGACCGGCCACACUGGGACUGAGACACGGCCCAGACUCCUACGGGAGGCAGCAGUGGGGAAUAUUGCACAAUGGGCGAAAGCCUGAUGCAGCGACGCCGCGUGAGGGAUGAAGGCCUUCGGGUUGUAAACCUCUUUCAGCAGGGAAGAAGCGCAAGUGACGGUACCUGCAGAAGAAGCACCGGCUAACUACGUGCCAGCAGCCGCGGUAAUACGUAGGGUGCGAGCGUUGUCCGGAAUUAUUGGGCGUAAAGAGCUCGUAGGCGGCCUGUCGCGUCGGAUGUGAAAGCCCGGGGCUUAACCCCGGGUCUGCAUUCGAUACGGGCAGGCUAGAGUUCGGUAGGGGAGAUCGGAAUUCCU